rnacentral:rRNA from 1 species
AUUGGUGCUUGCACUGAUCCGAUCGAGUGGCGGACGGGUGAGUAACGCGUGGGUAACCUGCCUCAUACAGGGGAAUAACAGUUGGAAACGGCUGCUAAAACCGCAUAAGCACACGGUAUCGCAUGAUACAGUGUGAAAAACUCCGGUGGUACAAGAUGGACCCGCGUCUGAUUAGCCAGUUGGCAGGGUAACGGCCUACCAAAGCGACGAUCAGUAGCCGACCUGAGAGGUUGAACGGCCACAUUGGGACUGAGACACGGCCCAAACUCC